UACGUAGGGGGCAAGCGUUAUCCGGAUUUACUGGGUGUAAAGGGGGCGCAGACGGCGAUGCAAGCCAGGAGUGAAAGCCCGGGGCCCAACCCCGGGACUGCUCUUGGAACUGCGUGGCUGGAGUGCAGGAGGGGCAGGCGGAAUUCCUGGUGUAGCGGUGAAAUGCGUAGAUAUCAGGAGGAGCACCGGUGGCGAAGGCGGCCUGCUGGACUGCAACUGACGUUGAGGCCCGAAAGCGUGGGGAGCAGACAGG
rnacentral:rRNA from 1 species